ensembl:miRNA
CCGAAAGAAAGGUGGAGGGGUUGUCAGAGCUGCGGCUGCUCCACGCUGACACUCCAUCCGCCCUCAG